rnacentral:rRNA from 1 species
UACGUAGGGGGCAAGCGUUGUCCGGAUUUAUUGGGCGUAAAGAGCGCGUAGGCGGUCCGGUAAGUCGGCUGUGAAAGUCAAGGGCUCAACCCUUGAAAGCCGGCCGAUACUGUCGGACUAGAGUCCGGAAGAGGCGAGUGGAAUUCCCGGUGUAGCGGUGAAAUGCGCAGAUAUCAGGAGGAACACCGGUGGCGAAGGCGGAUCUCUGGGCCGAUACUGACGCUGAGGAGCGAAAGCGUGGGGAGCGAACAGG